rnacentral:rRNA from 1 species
UACGGAGGGUGCAAGCGUUAUCCGGAUUCACUGGGUUUAAAGGGUGCGUAGGCGGGCAGGUAAGUCAGUGGUGAAAUCUCCGAGCUUAACUCGGAAACUGCCGUUGAUACUAUUUGUCUUGAAUGUUGUGGAGGUAAGCGGAAUAUGUCAUGUAGCGGUGUAAUGCUUAGAUAUGACAUAGAACACCAAUUGCGAAGGCAGCUUACUACACAAUUAUUGACGCUGAGGCACGAAAGCGUGGGGAUCAAACAGG